CAGUCGCCGCGGUAAGACGAACCGAGCGAACGUUAUUCGGAAUCACUGGGCUUAAAGCGCACGUAGGCGGCUUGGUAAGUUAGAGGUGAAAGCCCGGAGCUCAACUCCGGAAUUGCCUUUAAGACUGCCGAGCUAGUAGGUGAGAGAGGUAAGUGGAAUUCCGAGUGUAGAGGUGAAAUUCGUAGAUAUUCGGAAGAACACCAGUGGCGAAGGCGGCUUACUGGCUCAUUCUAGACGCUGAGGUGCGAAAGCGUGGGGAGCAAACAGGAUUAGAUACCCCUGUAGUCCCUGUCUCUUAUAC
rnacentral:rRNA from 1 species